CUUUCUCUCUAUGCCAGCCCUUUGUGCUCUGGGCUGCGUCUUUCCAGCUCUGGUGAUGCCCUUUCAGGUCACUGAACGGCAGAGAGAUGGAAGGAAUUGGGCCAGACGCCCCUCCUCACACACAAACACCCCCAAGAAUUGGGACUGCCGACUUCUGAGUCGCUCUCUCUGCUCGUCUCUUCUACGUUCAGGUGCUUAAGACGCCUGAUGGGCCACAGCAACAGGGUGGCCCCCCUGCAAGGCCCGGAGCAGCCUGUGGCGUCAGGUGAGCAAGUGGCUGUGGCGUUUGCACAGAGCCCCCGGUCGUUCCACGGGCUAUUGACCCUGCACCACCACGGCUUAUCUCUUCCACUGCCCCCAACCAGUUUUCCCCAGUAAUAUAUUCAGACUCAGUCAGGUUGCAACGGAUUAACAAAGAUUCCAGGUUAUUGUGAACGCAAACAAGUUUUAAAUACUUUGAAACACUGUAAUCCGAUUCUCUCUCUCUGUCUCUAACUCACUCUGCCUACCACCCACAAGAAACCAACCGAACUAACUGCCCUAAGCCCUGUGUUGAGCCUUAAGCAGUUAGGCUCGGCCCCUGGGCUUUCUUACUGGUCAGCCUAUUAACUCUUUCUCUCUCUCCCCCACUAUGACAUCUCCAUCAUGAGUGGGCCAUGAUGGCCCACAGUGGCCCUCCUUUUUGGGACAGGGGAGGGCAGGAAUGGGCUGGGGGGGCAGCUAGUAAAAAGAUGCACAGAACCAGACGGCUUGAUCCGACCCAAGGUCCAUCUGGGCCAGCGUCUGGAAAUGCCCCCCCCCAGCAACCACCCCGUUUUGUGGGGUCCGAUGGAGGAAGCAGGGGGCUGGGCUGUGGGGCAAGGCGGGGGGGCAGUUGUCAGCAGGAGGGGCACCUUCCCUGGGGAGCCAUGUUCUGGGGGCAGGAGGCCAGGAUUGGCCCCCAAGGCCUGGGGUGUCCCUCCCCUGUAGUAGGGCUUUGAAAACUCUUGGAAUAGCCUUGCCAGGGGCUCAGGGACGAACUCACCUGUCCCCAUGUCCUUCUCUUUGCAGAUGUGCUGGGGUUCCACAUCCCUUCCCUAGCGGUGAGUAUUGGAUAAAACAAGAGCAGAGAGCGGAUCCCUCAGACCUGCCCCCCGCUGCCUGGGCUCUUUGCCCCCCACUCUGCACUCUCAGAUACGGAGGAGCCCUCCCCCCACGAGGAACUGAUAGCCUGACUUUUGCAUUUUAGCUUCCAUCCCCCCAAGACCUGGGGCCGGAUCCAGCCCUAUCGCCUUAUAAAUCCGGUCCACGGACUGUUCGGGAAUCAGCGUGUUUUUACAUGAGUAGAAUGUGUCCUUUUAUUUAAAAUGCAUCUCUGGUUUAUUUGUGGGGCAUAGGAAUUUGUUCAUUAUUAUUUUUCCAAAAUAUAGUCCGGCCCACCACAUGGUCUGAGGGAUGGUGGACCGGCCCACAGCUGAAAAAGGUUGCUGAUCCCUGCUCUGGUUUGACUUACCUACUCUGCUCCCUAGCCCUGCAAGGACGAGAGGACAGUGAAGCUAAAUGGAGGCAGGUCCACACCAUACACAUAAAACAUGGCACGCACACACACACAUUCCCGAGUCCUGGGAAUUGUAGUUUGUUAAGGAUGCUGGCAAUCGUGGCUCUGUGAGGGGGAAACUUUGGGGGAAGUGUUGCUGUUGAGUCGUUUAGUUGUGUCCGACUCUUCAUGACCCCAUGGGCCAGAG